UAUGGAUUAUUAUUUUUUUCGGUAAAAUAUUGUGAUAACU
rnacentral:rRNA from 1 species